GAUGAACGCUGGCGGCGUGCCUAAUACAUGCAAGUCGAGCGAACAGACGAGGAGCUUGCUCCUUUGACGUUAGCGGCGGACGGGUGAGUAACACGUAGGUAACCUACCUAUAAGACUGGGAUAACUUCGGGAAACCGGAGCUAAUACCGGAUAAUAUUUCGAACCGCAUGGUUCGGUAGUGAAAGAUGGCUUUGCUAUCACUUAUAGAUGGACCUGCGCCGUAUUAGCUAGUUGGUAAGGUAACGGCUUACCAAGGCAACGAUACGUAGCCGACCUGAGAGGGUGAUCGGCCACACUGGAACUGAGACACGGUCCAGACUCCUACGGGAGGCAGCAGUAGGGAAUCUUCCGCAAUGGGCGAAAGCCUGACGGAGCAACGCCGCGUGAGUGAUGAAGGUCUUCGGAUCGUAAAACUCUGUUAUUAGGGAAGAACAAACGUGUAAGUAACUGUGCACGUCUUAACGGUACCUAAUCAGAAAGCCACGGCUAACUACGUG
rnacentral:rRNA from 1 species